CUGAGUCACAGAUAGAGGAAGCUCAACAGGAAGUGGUAAGGCAGGAGGUGGUUGUGGGUAAUUCUGUAAAAAAAUUUGACUGCUGACAACGUGACAUGCGACACAGUUACACUAGAAGGUUGAUGACAUAUAUUCAUAUGCUUCGUUCUGGAAACAAGAAAUGGUCAAAAGAAGCAACAAGUGCCUGUAGCACCAAGGGCCAGGCUGGAAGAUUACAGCGUACUGUACAGGGCAGAAAGCCACCAAAAGGCCAGAGUCUGGUCAUGCCUGCUUAUCCGUCUGUGUGUCGCCGCAAUGACACGCAUCGUUUUCAUCAAACUCCUCAUCGUCGUGCUGGCGGCCUUCAUCAUUUGCCUCCCAGAGUUCUUCACUUCAGAUCAAGAAGAGGCACAUCAGCAGUUCUUCUGCUGCAGUAACUGCACCGCACAGCAGGAGAACAGAACCGCGCAGCAGGAGAACAGAACCGCGCAGCAGGAGAACAGAACCGCGCAGCAGGAGAACAGAACCCAUGCGGCUACCAGACUCAACCACCACUGUUGCAUCCUCCACUCUCCGGGAACAAACCCAGCGGGAUGUAAAACUUCCCCUCUGGACACACACACACCGGGAGCACACUGGUGGAGCGGCAGACUCACCUGGCUGGCGCUCAUCCUGGCCGUCAUCCUGCUGGUCCUGGGCAGCCUCGUGUAUGAAGUUCAGCGGGGGACUAACGGCCGCAGAAAGAAGGCUGCAGUGCUCCCCAUCAGCACCAAUCAACCCCCCCAGUCCCCGGGGAGGCAUAUGAGCGGGAGAACUCCAGCAGAGCUCAUGGAUGAGGUGUAUUUCAAUGGCUACAGAUGCAGAUAUAAAAGAUCAACACUCUCCCCAAUUUGUGAAUAUGAAGCAGGCCCGGAGCUUCCCGUCCAGGAGAACCACGUCAAUAGUGGUGAGAGAAAAAGCGCCCAUCGUUGGAGAACAGGAAAUUGAGCAGAAAACACAUGUUGAAAUAACUUUUCCACCACCUUGUGUUUUUGUGCCCAUUUACUGAGCUUUUGCCAAACAGAAAUAGAGAAAAGAACACUGAGAUUCUGCCUCUGCGUCACGCCCAGCAAACGAGCCCUCCCUGACAGGAAGGAACUAACUCCAGCCCGCGCUCUGCUGCCAAAGCACAUGUGAAACUUCAAUGGGGCGUCAGUUAAGGAUUCAUUAAUACUAGAAAAGGAGAUUAAAUGUGCUGCACAGAGUAGAUUGGAAAGGUUCAGUUACAAACUUUACAAUCCUCAUUUCUCACCGUUAGCAUGGAGACCUGGUACUGGUGGCUGGCUCACCAUUCAAGCUGAUACACUCCAUCUGCUUAAGGAAGAACACGCUGAGUAUGCAAGCAUAUACGCACAGAGCUGUCUCACGCAGUGCUGUGAUUGGCCACACUCAGGCAUGUAUGCACAGAGCUGUCUCACGCAGUGCUGUGAUUGGCCACACUCAGGCAUGUAUGCACAGAGCUGUCUCACGCAGUGCUGUGAUUGGCCACACUCAGGCAUGUAUGCACAGAGCUCACUCUUCCGCAGUGCUGUGAUUGGCCACACUCAGGCAUAUACACACAGAGCUGUCUCACGCAGUGCUGUGAUUGGCCACACUCAGGCAUGUAUGCACAGAGCUCACUCUUCCGCAGUGCUGUGAUUGGCCACACUCAGGCAUGUACGCACAGAGCUCACUCUUUCGCAGUGCUGUGAUUGGCCACAGUCAGGCAUGUACGCACAGAGCUCACUCAUACGCAGUGCUGUGAUUGGCCACAGUCAGGCAUGUACACACAGAGCUCAGUCUCAAGCAGUGCUGUGAUUGGCCACACUCAGCAUGUACACACAGAGCUCAGUCUCAAGCAAUGCUGUGAUUGGCCACACUCAGGCAUGUACACACAGAGCUCACUCUCACGCAGUGCUUUGAUUGGGGGCAACAUAGCUCAGGAGGUAAGAGCGGUUGUCUGGCAGUCGGAGGGUUGCCGGUUCGAUCCCCGCACUGGGCGUGUCGAAGUGUCCCUGAGCAAGACACCUAACCCCUAACUGCCCUGGUGGAUGAGAGGCAUCAAUUGUAAAGUGCUUUGGAUAAAAGCGCUAUAUAAAUGCAGUCCAUUUACCACUAGCCUUCUUUCCCCCUGUCUCAGAAGCCCCCAGUCACAUUAGAGGCUUCUGUCCUCUGUUGACAGGUUUUCUUCUACUGUUAUAAAUUUACUUAAUUUCAUUAUCCUGUUUUCAUGGUUUUUGUUAUGGAGUGUCUGGUUUAUGCCUAUUAUUUUUUUUAAUAAAAUGAUGCUUUAGGUAUUUACUUUACCAUUAUGUAAUAGAAUUGUCUUCCUAAAAUUGUGCAAAGUAAGGCUAUUUAUUUAAUGUGCAAUGUUUAGUAAACACAAAAUGACUAAUGGUCAUAGUACCUGA